CUUGUGGAAAAGACAUGCCAAGUAAUCUUUGAUGGUUUUUAUGAAGAUUGGGAUGUCUUUUUCGACGACGAUUACGACUAAGGCAUCGUGAUCUUGUUUUGUCUACAGAUUGUCUCUCACUGAAGUGAGGCUGUGCAAAGGAAGGUGCAUCAAGCAAAUAUGUAUCCUGAAAUUCUGUAUCUACCGAGACAGGUGAAGUAUCAAAAGGAUUGACGUAUUGAGGGUUUAUGCAGGAUAAAUGUGAUUUUGUCGCAAUAGGAGUUGACUGGUUUCCGCACCAUGAAAUUUCCUCUUUCGAAGAAAUAAACGAGUCUAUUGAGUUUAAAGAGUUUUCUAAAAGGGAAGAGUGUACACCAACGCAGAGAGUGCCUGAACCACUCAGGUCAUUGCUAGGAAUAUCAAUGUCUUGAUUUAUAAUGUCAUCGUAUUCAAGCCAGGAAUCCAUCUUAAAAGUCCCAAAAAUUAAUUGCUUACUAGCAAAAAGGUAACUAUAAAAUUGCGAUGCAAACUAAGGAGAUUCUAUGGCUGUGUUCUUUGAAAAAAAAAAUGAGUUUAAAACUGCUAGUGACUAGUAAUAUAGCAUUACAUAUAAUAACAGAAAUGAUAAGUAUCCAAAAAAAAGCAGGCAAACUCGUUAGAUUUGAGUCUAACUUUUUCUUCAAAAUGCCAAUAAAACCGAACUCUCAGUCAACAAUAAUGAUGAUCCUCUAAUUCAACCUGAAGCUUUGUUCAAGAAACGAAAUAAUAUCAAUUAUAAAUAAGCAGUAAUCCAUAGACUUCAAAACGUCCACUCCAUAAGCUUGCGUGUCUCUUUUAUACGAUUUAGCACAAGCGCACUUCUAUUGUGCAGCUUUGGAAAGAUGAGCCAAUUCUAAAGCUUCCGUAGAGUUGAGUUACAAACUACCCAGAAUUUUUGAAUAGUAAUUAAAUGUUGGUACUACGCACGCGA